rnacentral:lncRNA from 1 species
UCGCGAUUUUCGUCUCUUUUUCGCCAAGUGAUUUACAUAUUUGAUAUUGUAGUGUGUAAUAUAGUUGAAAAGUUAUUGAUAUUUGUUUCAUGGUGUCCCGUAGAAUGCGAGAAAAUAUGGAUUAUUCGAUAUUCUGAGGAUUUGGGACCACCAGGAAAGAAGAAUUAUCUAGAAUAGUUCUAGAUAAGUUAGAUAUAGCUAAACAUGAGAUCUCAAAAGAUUCCCGUCCCUUAAAUACUUGCACGCAGCGUGCCGUAAUACAUGUUUGAGUGUGGUGUGUGUGUAUGUGUGCGGAGUGUGUGUAGGUGUCUAGAGGAGAGAAAAUUAUGAGCCAAUAAAGGUUUCACGAGGUCGACCGAGAGAAGAUAGAGCACGCUUUGCGCCGGUACCGUCGGACCGUCGGAACCGUCGACACAAUCUACGACUUCUUGCUACUAUAACGACGCGAACGUGGAAUAACCAUGGAAUAACCAUGGAAUAACCGUGGAAUAACCGUGUAUUUCUCUUUUUCCUAAAUAUUCGAUUCCAACCGAAGUAGUCCGUGAGUAUCGAUCACCACGUUUGAAAAUAAAAAUAAUCAAACCAACUGUCUCGCCCGAUGAUUAUUGCGAUAAACUACAAGUAGUCCUUUGAGUAGAAAUAGUCCUUUUGGUAGUCCAAUUAAGUGAUCAUUAAUUAUUAUUACAUGGAAGAUCGUCGAGUUAUUUACACGUGUGCCGAUGUCCUCGAUGUUGUAGUACUCUUUCCGUUCACGUGACCACCAGGUUCAGGGAAAAGAGGGUCAAACGAGUAAGCUCACCCUCAUUAAGCACCGUAUAUCAGGACAAAGUCGCGUGGCAAUGACGUGUAAUUAUUACGCGUCAGGUAUUACUUGCAUAUUACCAACAUAAAAUAACGUUCGGUGAACCUAUUAAAUACAGCAGAAAUGUACGUAAGGACGAGGAGAGAAAAAGAUUUCUUCGACACUGGCCGACGAAGGUGAAGUCGACAUCGAAGUCGACAUCGAAAAAUGAAAAGCAAGAUAUUAAAACGAAAGAAAGAAAGAAAGAAAGAAAGAAAGAAAGAAAAAAAGCCAGCGACUUUCGGAAGUUCAUGAAAGUUCGUUUACACAACUCUUUCCCGCGCUGCAAUGCAUUAUGCUCUCGAGACGAGCUGACCUGAAAUCUUCGACCUCCGCUGCUCUUCAGGAGGGAAGAGCGACGCAACUCGUCAUUCCGGUACACCUUCUACAAGUUUGUCACGCAUACAGGGUGCUCCGAAAGUAUAGGACCAACGUUACGUUAAAUCAUUCAUCAAUCUAUCAAACUUAUCGCCGUUCGUAUCCAGUAAUAACAACUUGUCUUAAAUUGGCACCGAGGAAAUUUCAUAAAAUUAUUUCAUAAUAAAUGCAGCAUCUAUUUAAAUAUAAGUAACACUUGAUUAAUGUCAAUUUCAAGGGUAUCAUCUGUAUUAGAAAUAUAUUGGUUACUCUCUAUCAGCAUUAUAAUUGAUAUUUGAAAUAUUUGUAAUUUUUAAAAUCCAAAAGAACUUAGAACUCUGGAAUGAAAAUGAGAAGGACGCUUACUUGUGGCUACUCCUUUAAAUUCUUUCGGUAGAAGGAAAUAUCUAUUUUACUUACGAUGUCGUUUUCUAUACCCGGUACGCAACUCGUCCGACUACUUCGUCCGAUGGAGUGCUGCAUCCGUGCGCACAACCCUUGAGUGCACUUGAGACCAAGUCGAGAGUCCCUCUCUACAUGGGUGGUCCAUUCUUCUUACGCAUGCAUUAUAUAAGUUCAGUAAAGUUCACACCAUAGAUAACUGAACGAGAAACUGAUCGUUUACCACUAUCGGAAGAGACGUGUUCUUUCACAAAUACUUACAUAUUUAUUUAUUUAUCUAAUUACUAUUAACAAUAAAUCCAUUUUUUUUGUAGAUAUACAUCAUACAGAAAUAAACUAAGAUUUAAUCGACAUAGUCGAUGAAUGGAUCAUCAUCAUCAUCAUCAUCAUUGAAUUAAGAAUAUGUAAAGAAUAUACUGAUGGAAAUAUAGGGACGACAAAAGGGCCAAAACGUUUGGCGAAUUUUGCCUGCUGGUUGUAGAUAAGAAUAGGCCAUAUAUCGUCCAUCCAACAUCCCCACUUAUAUCACCAUCACUUUCCAAACUGUUUAAAGAUGUCCCAUGCAAAAUACGUGAACGUUGUUGCUUUAGAUGUUACACACAUUUUUUUUGUUCAUCAUUAUUAAACAUUUCUU